UUGCCAAACAAACUCCAUCUCGAACCAAGAAAAAUCGAGAUUCGGUCACGCGUUUUCAAGCUGUCUUAGUUUCCUAUUUUGAGUUCAAUCAUCGGCCUAAAUUAGACGAGAUUCCUAAGCGAUAAACUGCGUCUGGAGACCUAUAAGUAGAGGUGGUGCUUACUCGUUACGAACACGCCUCUCACCUUUCUGUUCCUCACCCCAAAUCGGCCCCUUUUGUCAAGUUCCGCCGCCGCCGCAAGUACUCCGACGAAACCAGUAACCAUCGAACUGAUUGAGGUAUGGAUGCUAUCCAUCUAUUCGAUUUGCAACAUUUAUUCCUCUCGUGCGGGUUACUUACGGCCUUCCUAUCGCAAUUAAGGUUACAAGAAAAUCAAGGAAGACUUGGAAAAGGGCUAGGGAGAAUAAAAGACUCACAGGAAUUUUCAUAA
rnacentral:lncRNA from 1 species